GCUGGUUUCUGAUUUAGCGUCUCCUGUAAUACUGUUAAAUCCUGCUAUUAAAACAGCAAAGCUUGGGGAUUUUUGUCCCACUCAUCAUCUUCAGUACUAACAAUCUCACUAUGAUGAUGAAUAAUUUCCACCAGUCAUUUUCAACUCAACCCUUAAUUACCUGUGGCACCAGCACUUCUUACUAGAGACCCACGUGUUUAAAUUCUGCUUGAUGAGCACAUUAACCGGGGACCCUUUGAAGCUCCGUUUCUGAUCAUACCUUUGCUAAUCCAUGACCUCAGUGAAUAUAUACAAAGAAAAUCUACGAACUACUUUGGUCCAUAUACCUAAGUAAUAGAAUCCAGUGUGACCCUCAGUUGCUUCCCGGGGUUGUUCAUGACCCCUGUGGGUACAAUCGAAGAAGCUCAAGUUUCUUUAACAAAAUAGUGUAGUAUUUUCAUAGCACCUACGUAGUCCUCCCACCUACUUUACAAAUUCAUCAGGAUCCCAGCAUUAUAAGACAUAUAUCUACAAACUUAUGAAAACUUCCACUGCAACUCUAUCUGUAUAAACAGGUCAUACAGAAUCCUUCCAUCCUUUCCGCUCAAGUGGGAAGCACAGGUGAUGCCUCCCCUGGAAGUUCCUAAACAUGAUGAGGAAGGUUACAGAAGCACAAUUGUGUCAUUUUCAUCUUGUCACAGAAGCGAAUCCACUGAGAUUGUUGCCCUUGCAGGGUUCUAUGGGAAGCUUUCCACAUGCUGUCCAGUUGGACCACAUGCCAGGAGAGCAUUGUCGCC